rnacentral:rRNA from 1 species
AGAGUUUGAUCCUGGCUCAGGAUGAACGCUGGCGGUCUGCCUAACACAUGCAAGUCGAACGAGCUCCUCGGAGCUAGUGGCGGACGGGUGAGUAACGCGUGAGAAUCUGCCUUCAGGACGGGGACAACAGCUGGAAACGGCUGCUAAAACCCGAUGUGCCGCAAGGUGAAAUAUUUAUAGCCUGAAGAUGAGCUCGCGUCUGAUUAGCUAGUUGGCAGUGUAAGAGACUACCAAGGCAACGAUCAGUAGCUGGUCUGAGAGGAUGAGCAGCCACACUGGGACUGAGACACGGCCCAGACUCCUACGGGAGGCAGCAGUGGGGAAUUUUCCGCAAUGGGCGAAAGCCUGACGGAGCAAGACCGCGUGAGGGAGGAAGGCCCUUGGGUUGUAAACCUCUUUUAUUAAGGAAGAAGUUCUGACGGUACUUAAUGAAUAAGCAUCGGCUAACUCCGUGCCAGCAGCCGCGGUAAUACGGAGGAUGCGAGCGUUAUCCGGAAUCAUUGGGCGUAAAGAGUCCGUAGGUGGUUAAACAAGUCUGCUGUCAAAGCAUGGAGCUUAACUCCAUCAAGGCAGUGGAAACUGUAUAACUAGAGUCUAGGAGGGGUAGAGGGAAUUCCCAGUGUAGCGGUGAAAUGCGUAGAGAUUGGGAAGAACACCGGUGGCGAAAGCGCUCUACUGGACUAGCACUGACACUGAGGGACGAAAGCUAGGGUAGCGAAAGGGAUUAGAUACCCCUGUAGUCCUAGCCGUAAACGAUGGAUACUAGGCGUAGCUCGUAUCGACCCGAGCUGUGCCGAAGCUAACGCGUUAAGUAUCCCGCCUGGGGAGUACGCACGCAAGUGUGAAACUCAAAGGAAUUGACGGGGGCCCGCACAAGCGGUGGAGUAUGUGGUUUAAUUCGAUGCAACGCGAAGAACCUUACCAAGACUUGACAUCCGACGAAUCUGCCUGAAAGGGUGGAGUGCCUUAGGGAGCGUCGUGACAGGUGGUGCAUGGCUGUCGUCAGCUCGUGUCGUGAGAUGUUGGGUUAAGUCCCGCAACGAGCGCAACCCUCGUCCUUAGUUGCCAGCUUUAAGUAGGGAACUCUAGGGAGACUGCCGGGGACAACUCGGAGGAAGGUGGGGAUGACGUCAAGUCAGCAUGCCCCUUACGUCUUGGGCUACACACGUACUACAAUGGUCAGGACAACGGGAAGCCAAACUGCAAAGUGGAGCGAAUCCCAGCAAACCUGGCCUCAGUUCAGAUUGGGGGCUGCAACUCGCCCCCAUGAAGGAGGAAUCGCUAGUAAUCGCAGGUCAGCAUACUGCGGUGAAUCCGUUCCCGGGCCUUGUACACACCGCCCGUCACACCAUGGGAGCUGGCCACGCCCGAAGUCGUUACUCCAACCGUUCGCGGAGGAGGACGCCGAAGGCAGGGCUAGUGACUGGGGUGAAGUCGUAACAAGGUAGCCGUACCGGAAGGUGUGGCUGGAUCACCUCCUUUAAGGGAGACCAACAUCAAGAAAAGUAGGGGCGUGAUACCCACGCCCAAAGCGAAAAACUUGAACAAUCCCAAGGUCGUGACUGAGGGGUUAAGAAAAAACUUUUAAACUAGGGCGUGAAAAAAACACGCCCCUACCCAGGUGAAGGAAACGGGCUAUUAGCUCAGUUGGUUAGAGCGCACCCCUGAUAAGGGUGAGGUCUCUGGUUCAAAUCCAGAAUGGCCCACCAUACUGGGGGGUAUAGCUCAGUUGGUAGAGCGCCUGCUUUGCAAGCAGGAUGUCAGCGGUUCGAGUCCGCUUACCUCCACCAAAAACAAGCACCUUGAAAACUGCAUAAGAAGAGAAAAAAGAAAAAAGGUCAAGCUAACAAGAGCUAACGGUGGAUACCUAGGCACACAGAGGCGAAGA